rnacentral:lncRNA from 1 species
GCCUUGUGGAAAGCAGCUGUAUCAGUGGAUUCUGGAGACACAUAAAGCGCCUUCCACCUCUGCUGGCUGAACUCCUUCAAGCCAGGCCAUUUCAGUUUUCGGAUCCAUGCCUCCUGGCCCAUGGUGUCAACAAUGAGAUCCAGCUGCCCAUUAUAGACUGUGACGUUGACAUUGGCUGCUAAGAGCUGAUCAACAAUGUCAAUGACAGGUCUCAUGAAGUCCUCAGCCAUGUUCUCAAAGACUUUUGUGGACUGACCUCCCCAUUUUACACAGUCAGGAAUAACUUUUAGUUUCUUUCUGAUAGGUCCAUUCAUCAAUUCAUUUAGGUUGUUCUUAUGCAUAAUUUUCACGUGACGUUGGUAAAGUCUAACAAGAUGAAAAUUUUCUUGUUCAUCUGCUUUCAUUUCUGGAACUUCCUUAGUCAUGAUGUUAUAAAAGUUCACAUUGUCUGUGUUCUCUUCAAUGAUACCUUCAGCCUUACUCCAGAGCUCAGUGGCCAGUCCAUAUUCAUUUUUAUUUAUUGCAUCCAUUAUUUCUUUAGCAACAGCAGUCACCUCUGCUAGACCAUGAUCAUCAAGGAGAGAAGUGCUAUAAAGGUAGGGUCCCCAAGACAGCACAGAAUCCAGUGGAGAAAUCCAUGAGUCUCCAAGAGCAAC